CAGGCUCAUCUCAAAUUCACCAGAGACAUUUGGCUCAUUAAUUCAAAUGUCAAGGAAAAUGCAUCGACGUAAGAGAGGCUUAAUCAGUGCCAGGACUCGGUCACUACCAGGCACCAAAAAUAAUGGGAGAGAGGUUUGGUUCUGAUCUAUAACGUUCCUUCACAAGUUCCAUUGGCGAGGAAAAAAAAGGAGGAAUCACUAAAAAGCAAAGAUUGCCAGGUCAGAUGCCUGGCAAAUUCCCUUCAUCAAGCUGGGCUCAGCACCUUCAUUUCAGAAGGCUGAAAGGGCUGGGUGAGGAAAAUCUAUGCUGUGUUUGUCUUCAGUUCUCCAAGUAAUUUAUGCCAGCUGACAAUGCUCAUUUUUAAUGCUGCACAGAGCCACCCUGUGAAAUUUUGUGAUGCUGGCAGCUGCUGCCCCAGCCAGCCCAACAAGAACCCUGAUUAUGAAGAAUAUGAGCUGGGGCAACCCAGAAAGAAGGGGCCUCUUCACCAGGCUGCCAAAAGUGGUGCUGUUGUGGCAAAUGCCGACCAACACAGAAGUACCACGAACAGCUCUUGCUGAAGGAAAAAAGGGCAGCACAUCACAACCUCCCGCUGGUUUCAGCAGCUGGUGCUGUCUGGUCGCACCCCGAAGAAAGCCAAGAGUCGCCUCAAAGCACAACCCUGAAGGAAGGAAGCCCAAAAGAGGAAUCACUUGGAAAUGUGGUGCUGAGCAUUUUUCUGCCUCACCCUCCCCAGCUUUCUGCAGCCCUGGAUCAAGAGGCUCUAGACAGAGGCCACAGAACAAGUUUCCUAACUUGUCACUGAAGGCCUCAUGGUCUGACCAGAUUAAACACACUCAUUUUAGAUGGUUCCAGUGACACAGACAAAGCAUUUUUUGAAAAGCCCAGCUCUUCUCUUUGUAUUGUUCUUUUUAGCUUGAACUCAGGAACUACAUGAAAAGUACUUUUACCCUCUUUGUGUAAUAUUUUUGGGCAUUUCAUUCACACUCACUGGAAUUGUAAUGUUGGACUGUUUGUUCUUACCUUCAAGCAGGCCUUGCUUCCUACACCUCCUCCUCCUGAACUUGUGAGAGUAGCUCUGUGCUAUGAUGUGUGAGGUCAGAGUACACCCGAGGAGCAGCAAACUCAGGGUAGAUUAAUCUGUGCUCCAGCACUUUUUCCAUUCUCUAUUUUUGUUAUAUUUAGGCAUGUUCUAUUUUUGUAGAACCAAGGUGAGAAGGAUUAUAACAGGUAUGUUCUGCACUCCUUUCAACAAAGCUUUGUUCUCUCUGAGCUAACCCAGCAGUUUACCAUUUCCAUUUCCCACAUGUAUUUGAAGAUAUAUUGCUGGCAGAUUAUGCCAGCUGUAUUUAUAUCUUCAUCAAUUGUGUUAACAUUCAUAUUGCAGCAUCUAGAGUGGGAAAAUAUUACCGUAGGCAUUAAUGCAUUUCUGUUCUAGCAUAUGAACCAAUUCUCCUUUUGAAAAUAAUUACACUAAAUAUUCACCCAAGACUGUGAUUUUGAUCUCUUCUCACAUUUGCAUCAAAGUUCUUCCUUACCCUUUCCCCGCUUUUUAUAGUCCUUUCAGUUUUGACUGUCUUUAUAAAAAAUAAAGCAUUUUACCAAUAUAUAGCUUACCUAAAGCUCUUUAAUUGUUUUGUACUCCCUGAAAUUCCCACUGCUACUUUAUCAGCUCUAUUCAUCUCUUCCUAAUGAUUUACUCGUUCUUAUGAGGGUUAUGGUGGUGUUUCUAAUAUAAGCACUGUGUUGGGUAUCUCAGCACCAGGUGGAAGGUGCAUGAAUUAGGGGGCAGAUCCCUGCUUUUAUAGCAAAGAUUAAUUCUGCAAGAGGAUAAAUAAAGGAUUUGCUCCUUGUGGAUGGGAGUGUGAUGGUCUUCAAUAUGCUCUGCUCUCUUUUGGAGGCAGGUGCUUGGUCCUUGCCCUGAGCUGGAUGCAAGAUACGAGUUGGUGUUAGGGGAUCCCUACUCCUGCCAAAAUUGUGUUGAGUUCUGG